UACGGAGGGUGCAAGCGUUAUCCGGAAUCAUUGGGUUUAAAGGGUCCGCAGGCGGUUUGAUAAGUCAGUGGUGAAAGCCUACAGCUCAACUGUAGAACUGCCAUUGAUACUGUGAGACUUGAAUUCGAUCGAAGUGGGCGGAAUGUGACAUGUAGCGGUGAAAUGCUUAGAUAUGUCACAGAACACCGAUAGCGAAGGCAGCUCACUAGGUCUGGAUUGACGCUCAGGGACGAAAGCGUGGGGAGCAAACAGG
rnacentral:rRNA from 1 species